ACCCGGCAGCGAAUGUUCUCCGCAUCCUCGAUCCGAACGGCCAUGGCCUUCGCCGCCGUCCUCCGCGCCGGCCUCCUCGCGGUGCCCCCUCGGCUAUCCGCCUCCUCGCCGCCGCCAUUCUUCGCCACUUCGUCCUACGCCCGUGUACCUCGCCUCACAGCAGCUGCACGCGCCGUACGGUACCGGCGACGGGGCCGGCCGAGCCGCGCGGCCGCGGCGAUCACCGCGUCGCUCGACCUCACCGAGGACAACGUCAGGCUCGCCCUAGAAGAAGCCAAAUCCGAGCUUGGGCAGCUGUUCGACACGUCGGUGGGAAUCACAGGGCAAGUCGAUCUCGCGGAGUUGGACGGGCCGUUCGUAAAGCUCCGGCUCAAGGGCAAGUUCUGGCAUACCCGCGCCACCGUGGUAGCGAGGAUCGGCAACUACCUCAAGAACCGCAUCCCGGAAAUAUUGGAAGUGGAGAUAGAGGACGAGAAACAAUUGGAUGAUAGCCCGGCUGCUUUCUGAGCCGCUGGGCUUUAGUCUCUUCCUACUAAUACAACGGGCAGCUCUCCUAAAAAAACUGAAGUUGCGAAGUGAAUUUGAAGAGCCAAAUGUGCUUACUGUAGUAUUACAAAGAAGCAGCUGCCUGGUAUUGUUGCGGGGACCUACCUUUGGAGAAGUUUAGUGGUUUUUCUUUCUAGGAUCAUCAUCUUGUGUCUGAAAAGGGUCUAGCUAUGAUGCACUCUUGCCACUGAUUAUAUAUUUAAGUCACCACUGUCUUGCAAAAUAAUGAUAUGCUGAAGUUUUUGUGAUCAUCAUAUAUUGUUUGAAAUACUGUUUUCAUCAUUA